UUAAGCUGCAAUAUUGCAAUAUUUAUCGUCACACCUGUUAUACGAGUACAAACGUUGUGAAAGCGUAUGCUGGGAGGCGCCAUUAAAGAAAAACA